UACAGAGGGUGCGAGCGUUGUCCGGAAUCACUGGGCGUAAAGGGCGUGUAGGCGGCUUGCUAAGCAGCGUGUGAAAGCCCGGGGCUCAACCCCGGAACUGCACGCUGGACUGGCAGGCUCGAGACUGGUAGAGGCAAGUGGAAUUCCUGGUGUAGCGGUGGAAUGCGUAGAGAUCAGGAAGAACACCGGUGGCGAAGGCGGCUUGCUGGGCCAGUUCUGACGCUGAGGCGCGAAAGCGUGGGGAGCAAACAGG
rnacentral:rRNA from 1 species